GCCUCAUUAGCUCAGUUGGAGAGAGCAUUCGUCUCCUAAACGAAAGGUCCUCGGUUCGAGCCCGGGAUGAGGCA
rnacentral:tRNA from 1 species